rnacentral:rRNA from 1 species
GUAGGAUUGUGGGAGUCAAUCUUUCAUCCCUUUAUGACUUGGGCUACACACGGUACAAUGGACAGAACAUAGGGUGCGAGACCGCAAGGUUUAGCCAAUCCCACAAAUCUGUUCUCAGUUCGGAUCGCAGUCUGCAACUCGACUGCGUGAAGCUGGAAUCGCUAGUAAUCGCGGAUCAGCAUGCCGCGGUGAAUACGUUCCCGGGCCUUGUACACACCGCCCGUCACACCACGAGAGUUUGCAACACCCGAAGUCGGUGAGGUAACCUUUAUGGAGCCAGCCGCCGAAGGUGGGCAGAUGAUUUGGGGU